UACGUAGGGUGCAAGCGUUGUCCGGAAUUAUUGGGCGUAAAGAGCUCGUAGGCGGUUUGUCGCGUCUGCUGUGAAAACCCGAGGCUCAACCUCGGGCCUGCAGUGGGUACGGGCAGACUAGAGUGCGGUAGGGGAGAUUGGAAUUCCUGGUGUAGCGGUGGAAUGCGCAGAUAUCAGGAGGAACACCGAUGGCGAAGGCAGAUCUCUGGGCCGUAACUGACGCUGAGGAGCGAAAGCAUGGGGAGCGAACAGGAU
rnacentral:rRNA from 1 species